rnacentral:lncRNA from 1 species
GCUCCUCUUCAGUCUCUCAUCAUCCCAACCAGACCCUAAACCCGCCGCCCUAAAAUUCCCAAGCCAUCCACCAGCGGCAGGCUCCAAACCACCCAAAUUCGUACCAUGAGACACCCAAGCCCUUCUAAAUAUUAUCCCCAUGCCUAUUUCCCAAUAAUCCCAAAUAAAUUCCCAAUUUCAAAUCUAGGAAGUUCUAACCCUAGGUUAUUCUGUUUUUCUAAAUUUCCUGAGAGUUCCGACUUGUUCUGACCUAUGACUUACAUUAAUUGAUUUCUUAGUACGAGCAAAUCGAUUGGUGUUGGAUUUAGCUCAUUCUGAGGACGCUGGAUUUUGGCGAACUCAUCGGAUUCUGGACAAUCCUCAAAUCACUUUACUGCUUGUCGAGACGUCUCAAAUGGUCCAGUCACUUCGGCAUAAUUGGUACUUUCCCCUCUUUUUCUCAUGACCCUGUUCACUACAUUAUUUUUCUGGUAAUCUUUUUUAUUUGCUUCAUUAUUUUGUCAUGUCUACUUUAAUUAUGAAUUUCAUUUUAGUUUAGUAGUUAAGUUAGGUUUAAUCAUAAGGUUUUGAAUUAUUUUUUAUCUUCUUUUACUGAAUUUGAUCAUCUUUGUUCGAUCAUUUAUGAUGGUUUGGUCUCUUGUAUUAACUGUGGUUAUCACUGGCCUAGUUAAGAGACCUGCUCCUUUGGGUUCUUGGGUUAACUUGACCCAAGUUGGCACUAUAAAUGUAAAUACAGGGGUGUCAAGGGUCAAUUAAGGAUUUAGGGUUUGAGGGAAUCAUUUUAUGUUAACAUAGAAAGUUCUAGAGGAUAAGAUAAGAGCUGGUUUGUUAAGGGCAUGGGUUUCAGAUAUUUUUAAAUGGGUAAAAGAGGUAAAACAACGAAGAAAUAAGGAAUAGAAAGAGAAUUGGUUAGUUGUACUAGGGCUACCAUAGGCUGCUUAUUUAAGGACCUCUUUCAUUCAUUUUCCAGGCAGCUUUUGAUACUCUAGAAAUACUGCACAUUUCUUGCAUUUUGUUUGGUUGAAAAUUGCUUUGGUCUUGCUCUUGAUCUUUAUAGUUAGUCAGAAUUUUCCAAAGUUUCAAAGAAUUUCUGUUGUCUGGGUCACAAAUGGUCUAAGGGAGCUUGAACCUUGCUGUGUUUGGCUUGUAGAUUCAUUCGAUCCACCGCUACUACUGUAAUCUUCAUUUUUCUGUUGAUUUACUUUGAUAUCCAAGUACAUCUUUGGACUUUAUUGAUGUGUGAAGCUUGACUAUGAAGCAUGAUUGGAGAUGUAAACUUUAGUUAGCUAAAUAUCAAGUUGUGUUAUUGAAAACUUAUCUUUUGUUCUACAUUUAAUUAUGUUAUAUUACUUGAUUCAUUGUAUUUAUUCAUUCUAUGGACAUUACAAUUUAUAUUGGGGUUGUAUUUGCACUUUCGUGAGUUAUUUUUGUUUCAGCCUAGUUUAAACUAUUUCUGCCAGUCUUUGGAUAUUUGUACUAGCAGUGUAGAUUCAAUUUGGAUAAGUAACACUACUUUUGGAGUAUGAUUAAAUUAAUUCAAUCUCAGUAAUGUUAAGUUCCAAGUUAACCUCCAUCAAUGAUUUUGAUGUUUAUGGUUUCAGUUUUGUUUUAAGAAAAAUUGAAUGAACUCAAGGGCUAUUGGGUCAGUGUAUGCUUAAUGUCUAGAGUACCCACUGUUAAAAUUACUAUGUAUGAACUCAAUAGCAGCUGGCAGUAAUUUCAAUAUUCAAGUGAGGUGUCUUGUGGUUCACUAAUUAUGUAGUGUUUUAAUUUUCUACGUGUUUGCGUCUAAAUUAGAUAAUGCACAUAUUUUGCUUACUCUGUUGAACUUUAGUUUAAUGGUAUUUGAGCACUCGAGGAGUUCAUGGCCAAGGGGUUCACCUGGAUUCCUUAGGCUUCAGAUGUUUCCUUGCUUCUAUAGAGAUUCGAUCUUGAGUCCCAUAUCCUUUAACAUUCAUGCUUUUGCCAGAUUUGGAUUUAAUUUAGGCCUGGUCGUUGGGGCCACUUGGAAAUGGGAGUUGUAUGACUUAUCAUUUUGGGGCUUGCUUUUGAGUCAAGAUUCUCAUUUAACUAUUGCUGCUGACUUUGUCUAUAACAGGCGUGGUCCAAAUGCCUGAAAGCCCAUUGCAACUCCUUUCUUUUUAGUAAUUGUUUAAAUAUGGCCUUAAAUCAAAAUGGUUAAAGUAAUUCUUGUACUUAGAUUGAGGUGUGCCAUAAAAAUUAACCUAUGGCCCUCACGGAUACUAAUUAGACAUUAAUGAUGAACAUUUAUAGAAAAGCCUUUAGGGCUGUUUAAAAUACAAUUGUGACUGUGUACAUGUUUGCAUGACAUAAUUAUAUUUUUUAAACCAAUUCGGAGUAUGCAUUCGCACAACUUCGAUCAAAUUUUGCUUAAUAAUAAUUUGUUUAAUAGGUCGCUAAUUGAUUUAGGAUUUUAUAUUGCGAGGUGCACCAUCCGCAAGUUUGUAAUAUAUGGCCCUCAAAUUAAUUUUAUAAUUUAGAUAUUACAAAUAACAAAUGAUCGUAAUUUAGAUAUUACAAAUAACAAAUGAUCGUAAUUUGCUUUAGGCACGUUUACUAUAUUAUCGUGGUCGUGGACACAUUCGAGGGACAUGAUUACGAUUUUAAGAAUAAAAUUGGAGCAUGUGUUCUCGCAACAUUGGCCAAAUUUUCUUAAUAAUAACAAAGCAAUAUUAACUGUGGACUCGUUUCGCGUAACAUGAUUUUGACGCACAAAAUAAAUGGGUACAUGUGCGUGUGACUCGUUUCAAGAUAAUUUCUUAAUUAAAAGAGGCAAAUGCACAUAGGUUUUAAAGUUAGUAAUUAGACAAUUUAAUAAGCCAAGUAUGAUCAAAGCAACCAUGCUAGAACCACGUAACUCGGGAAUGCCUAACACCUUCUUCCGGGUUAACAGAAUUCCUUACUCAGAUUUUUGUGUUCACAGAUCAUAAAUAAGAGCUUUCCUGAUUCGGAAUUUUAAACUGGUGACUUGGGACACUACAAACUAUCCCAAGUGGAGACUCUAAUUUUUAAAUAAUAAAUCCCAUUUUGAUUUGUCACUUUAAAUUAGAAAAAAACUCCCUUGAUACCCUUCCGGGAUAGGAAAAAGGAGGUGUGACAGCUCUGACAACUCUACUGGGAAAAUCGAUCAAGAAUUUCUAGUUCAGGGUGCAAGAAUUUGAGCUUGUUUUAAUGAUUUUUACUUGGAUUUAUUUGUUGUUAAUAUUACUGUAUUUUGUGAGCCUUUUAUACUAAAUGAUAUAUGUUUAUCGCCUUAAUGUUGUUUGAACUGUAUAUAACUGUCUUCUUACGCCACUCCUCUAAGUCUUCUGAAAAUGUUGCACACGUUCGCGUGGCCUGCUUUUCUGUAAAAAUUACACCAAAUAGAACGAGGCUGGACCAGUAACAAGGCCGGG